rnacentral:lncRNA from 1 species
UGGCAGCGGAGAAAAGUUAUGUCACAAGUUAUGUCGACUAUGUCACAUGUUUAGCCAGGCUAACCCCUUUCAAAGGGGAUACCACUCUGCAUGUAAUGGGUUCAGAAGCUCUGUUGACAGUAGGCAUUGACAGGAGGAAGACUACCCUCUUCUCUACCAUUUAGCGGUAUUUCCAUUAAAAGUAGCUGGCACUGGGAAGCAGUUGUGGUUCAAUUGAUUGAGCUCCCAUAUGGGAGGCCCUGGGUUCGCAUCCUAGGACCUCCUUGUGAAGGCAAACUGGCCUGCGCCCACGGAGAGUGGCGCAGCAAGAUGACACAACGAAGGGAGACAAGCAGACGUAGAAGAAUGCUCAGUGAAUGGACACAGAGAGCAGACAGUAAGCAAGCAGCAAGGGGGAAGGGAAAUAAAUAUUAAAAAUAUUUUUUAAAAAAAUAGCUGGCACUGAGUUUUGACUGAAGAGAUUCCAAGGCCACCUGUGUUUUGUAGCCUGACCUGCUGGAAGAGCAGCCAACCCAGAUCAUGGGGAAAGCUCAUGGACUAGCAGUGCACACAACCUGAGCAUGAGCUUGAGCCC